GGUCCGUUGGUGUAAUGGUCAACACUACCUAAUCUGGCGUAUUGUCGUGGUGUCCGCGGCUCUACGGCAGCGUGGAAGUUACCGGUUCGAAUCCGGUACUGGCUA
rnacentral:tRNA from 2 species